rnacentral:tRNA from 1 species
GGAGAGAUGGUCGAGCGGUUUAAGGCACACGCUUGGAAAGCGUGCGAGGUUAACAGCCUCCGCAGGUUCAAAUCCUGUUCUCUCCG